rnacentral:lncRNA from 1 species
ACUGACCCGGCCCUAAUUGAAUCCCAACCCAUUUCCUUGGGCUAUGGGGACUAGAGGCUUUAGAAAAGUCCCCUCUAACGUGGGUGAAAAAUAAUGGACUAAUUGAAAAAGAGGCCAGGGUUGGCCUUGGCUUGGGGCCAUAAAAAAAAGUCGACAACUCUAAUCAUUAUGAUGAGAGUGUUUCAUCCUACACCUCCAACAUCUCAUCCUGCACCUCCAAAAAUUACACUUUUGACCUUCUGACAUCUUAUUCUCCA